AACAAACAAAACAAUUAAAAAAACUCAAAAAAAGUAAUUAAAUUCUGACAAAAGUAUGAAAGACGUUGGACAAUUAUUGCGAAAGAGUCUGCUUUUAAUACAGGUAAAAGGGUUUUGACCGAUUUCAAGAGCUGGCUGAAAGAAGAUGUUUUGGAAGCAUUAAUGUGCAUAAAGGAUUGACAGGACGUUCAUUUUCGACUACAAGAUAAAUACGCUAAAAUUGGAUGUCGUCAGGUAAGUGAUAUUUGAUUUAAUUAUAUUAAUCAAAAUUUCUUAUUUUUUAAUUGUUAAAUUUAAUUUUCUUUAAAAAAUUGUACACGUUCCAACAAGUUGUUCAUGUACAAUUUUUAACUCCACCUACUUAAAAUUGAUGUAG
rnacentral:lncRNA from 1 species